CAGAGCGCCUGCUACUACCAGUGACCAUGACAAGCUCUUGAUCCCCGAUGCCAUUGUCCAGUAUACUUAUGGUUCUCCAAAUAGCAGGGCCUUCACCGCUCGGCUGACUUUCAGGAAAUGAUGUAGACCUUCGGUCCUAUCUUUGACAAACCUGCAGCAUUGAUUCUCCGGAGCUGACAACCAUCUGUGCGUCGAAUCGAUCAGCGAUGAGCCGAUGACGGUGUAACGGUACCACACAGGGAUUGAUCCUGCUACUUAGGCUGAAGAUGGUCGGGGGCCCAAGUUCCAUAAGAACGCACGGGUCGAAAUCCGUUGUAACUACGGGUAUUCCUGACUCCUGGGUAGUUUGGACGCCCGACGGACAGAAAGAUGAUGGGUGUGUCGUUCCUUCAGAGCUUCUCCUGGAUCAAAACGCCGGCAGCAGGUGCAUGUAUCUGGAAGAUGGGAGUUGAGAAUUCAGAUGCCAUGCUUCGGUUUUAUUUACCUAUCUAUCUCUGGAUUCCGCCCGCUGAUGCUCUGCAUGUAUCUGGUGUGUUGGGAACAGUGGGGGUAUGGUGUGGACAGGGUCGGUGACGCCCUGAUCCGUUUUAAUAUUCGGUCACACUUGGUGUGCUGCUUGCCUUGCUGUUGCUGAUAUCAUAGAUAUCUCUGCAGUGCAAUCUAGCUUCUUUUGUUGACUCUGCGAGGCUCAGUUCAAACUCCUGCUGCCAAGGUACUGUCGGUGUUUAUAUUUUAAUGUUCUUGAUCUGAUCUGA